CUUCUCAACUAGCACCUGGGAUAAUAUAGACCGUUAUAUUUUGAUUGUGGUAAAUGUUUAAAAUGGGCAAUAACUGUACCUGCCAAGUUUUUCUAGAGGACAGCCUGUUGACAGGCCCACAAAAAGAGUCAGCAAGGUCGUCGAAGGGUUCCAUGUUUUAGACAGCGUAAGGAGGUUUUUGAAACUGUUGUGACAGACGUUUGCUGUAUCAACUAUAGGAACAUUGAAGUCGCCAGACCUGGAAAGCAUGACAUUUAAUGUAGCUAAUUGGGGCAUGGAGGUACUUCUCAAAGGGCACUCGUAAGAGCAGGUUUAAAAGGAUUUCUCUGCCAUGUGACAGUGUAUCCUAAAACCCUUAGUAGAGUGAUAGGGAGACCUGAUUUUGGACAGCACCAUAUGACAGACUAAUACAGAAUCUUUUUCUUGACUAUUCUUCCCCAUCAUAAUUAUAAUUACCCUAAGUUCUAGGAAAGAAAAAAAAACCUGUGGAAAUAAAACUCACCUUGUUCUGUA